UUAAGUAUUCGCAACACAAUUCGGGAGAGGCUGACUUAGCUAUCGCGAGGGGCGAGAAGGAGCUAAGGCCGCACGGUUCUUUGUUGAGGGAACAAGUCCGUGACAGUAGGCUUGCUUUGAGCACUCGCUUUGUGUUGAUCGAAUUCCCAAGCGAUGACGAACGUUGAAGAUAUCUCGUACGUGACCGAGGGACGUGGCACGAGACAACCGGUGCACACCAGAGGCGGACCGGCCGACCCAACCCAAAGUCCAACUACGAGCUUUUUAAAGCCGUGCUAACGGAUCAUGGCGAAAGACUCGAGAGGCUCGAGAAUAACAUCGCCAUAGCGGAGCUUAGCGAAAGAUUCGAGAAGCUCGAGCACGAUACGGGAGUGUUGGAGAAUCACGUUGCCGAGCAACUCGAUUUGUCUAGGGACAAUGAGGCGUUGCGGGAGGAACGGUUGGAUCGAUUGGAGGCCAUCAUCCAAUCCCUCCAAGAGAGCAUCGAGGGGAUGCGCGACGACUUGGCCUUGUGCAAAAAGGCCGCCGCUAACGGUAGCGUUGGCGCUACAUCGAGUCCAAGGGUGGACUGCCCGAAGCCAACGGGAUUCAACGGCGUAAGGGACGCCAAGGAAGUUGAAAACUUCUUAUGGAGGAUGGAGCAAUACUUCGAGGGUAUCGGUCUAGUCGACGAGACGACUAAGGUAAGAACUUCUUCCCUUUACCUUUCCGAUACGGCAAUGUUGUGGUGGCGUAGAAAGCACGCCGAUAUCGAGAAAGGCAUUUGCCGAAUCGAUACUUGGGAAGAGUUCAAGAGGGAACUCAAGCGACACUUCUACCCGGAGAACGUCGUCUAUGAGGCUCGAAGGAAGUUGAGGGAACUCAAGCACCGAAGUUCGAUCCGCGAGUACGUGACAGAGUUCACCACCCUCACCCUUCAAAUUCCCAAUCUCUCCGAGGAGGACCUUCUUUUCCACUUCACCGAUGGGUUACAAGGCUGGGCCAAGCAAGAACUCCACCGACGAGACAUCAAAUCCGUCGAUGAAGCUAUUGCCGCCGCCGAGUCUUUAACCGAGUAUCAACCGAGAGAGCCGUUGCGAAAAGAGAAGUGGAGCCCGACUAAAGGCGGAGAAGAGAGACGGGACAAUCAUGGUCGGGACCAUCGAGAUAACCGUGACCCAAGGCGAGCGUCAACCUCGAGGGGAGGAGACAAGCCAUCCUCACGCCAUCAACUUGAAGAGAAGAAGAAGUCGUUUGUGCCUAAAGGAGGAUGCUUCGUGUGCAAAGGGCCGCACGCGAUGAGUCAAUGUCCCAAGAUGGGGUCCUUGUCGGCACUCCUACAACAAGAGGCCGAGCAAGACACAAACGAGGAGCUAGGCCACAUGGGAUCACUCCAACUUCUGAACGCCUUAAAGGCUAAUCCGAUGCCGGCAACAUCAAGCAAGGGGCUGAUGUACGUGGAGGCCCGCAUCAACGGUACCCCAGCAAAGGUGAUGGUGGACACGGGAGCGACCCACAACUUCAUCACCGAAGACGAGGCCAAGAGGGUUGGCCUACGGUGGGCAAGACGAGACGGUUGGCUCAAGGCCGUUAACGCUAAAGCACAACCGGUCAACGGUGUAGCACGAGACGCGGAGCUACACUUAGGCACUUGGAAGGGCCAAGUGGAUUUUUCGGUAGCACCGAUGGAUGAUUUCAAGGUGGUGCUAGGCAUGGACUUCUUCCGCAAGGUAAUGGCUAUCCCAAUGCCUUGUUUCAAUUCGGUUUGCAUUUUAGAGAAGGGGACACCUUGCAUGGUGCCGGCCAUCAACGGCACCACUAAGGAAGAAAGCACACAACCAAGGCAACUGUCGGCCAUGCAAGUUGCCAAGGGAGUUCGACGGGGCGAGCCGACAUUCUUAGCCACUUUAAAGGAGGAAAGCCCGCUCGUGAACAAAGAGGACGACGCACCACCGAUCAUCCAAACCGUCUUGGAGGCCAACCAAGACGUGAUGCCACCAAAUUUGCCCAACAAGCUUCCACCUAGGAGGGAGGUGGAUCAUGCCAUCGAGUUGGAGCCGGGAGCCAAGCCACCCGCCAUGGCUCCCUACCGCAUGUCACCGCCGGAGCUUGAGGAGCUCCGAAAGCAACUUAACGAGUUGGUCGAGACGGGGAAGAUCCGACCAUCGAAGGCACCUUACGGCGCACCGGUCCUAUUCCAAAAGAAGCACGAUGGUUCUUUGAGGAUGUGCGUGGACUACCGGGCGCUAAACAAGGUAACCAUUAAGAAUAAGUACCCUAUUCCCUUGAUAGCCGAUUUGUUCGAUAGGCUUGGUAAAGCCAAGAUAUACACGAAGAUGGACUUGCAAAAGGGCUACUACCAAGUUCGCAUUGCCGAAGGGGACGAGCCAAAGACAACGUGCAUCACUCGAUACGGUUCUUACGAGUGGCUCGUCAUGCCGUUCGGGUUAACCAAUGCCCCGGCAACGUUUUGCACUCUCAUGAACAAGAUUUUCCAUCCAUACUUAGAUCGGUUCGUGGUGGUCUACUUGGACGACAUCGUCGUUUAUAGCAAUACCAUGGAGGAGCAUGUCAACCACCUUCGCACCGUCUUCCAAGUACUUCGGGAAAACGAGCUGUUCGUGAAGAAAGAGAAGUGCGAGUUUGCCAAGGAGGAGGUCCAAUUCUUGGGGCAUAUCAUCGGGCACGGGCGACUCCAAAUGGAUGGAGCGAAGAUCAAGGCUAUCACCGAGUGGGAACCGCCGACUAAGGUAACCGAAUUACGAUCUUUUCUUGGUUUAAUCAAUUAUUACCGGCGGUUCAUAAAUGGGUACUCGGCACGAGCGGCGCCAUUAACCGACUUACUCAAGAAGAACAAGACGUGGGAGUGGCCCGACUCAUGCCAACGGGCGUUCGAGGACUUAAAGGCAGCGGUGAGCCAAGAGCCGGUCCUCGCCCUACCGGACUUUGGGAAGUCGUUCGAGUUGCACACGGACGCUUCCGACUUUGCAAUUGGAGGGGUCUUGAUGCAAGAGGGGCAUCCGAUCGCCUUCGAGAGCCGAAAGCUCAACGAAACGGAACGGCGCUACACGGUCCAAGAGAAGGAGAGGACCGCCAUCAUCCAUUGCCUUCGAGUAUGGAGACAUUAUCUAUUAGGCGCACCGUUCGUGGUCAAGACCGACAACAUUGCCACGAGCUACUUCCAAACGCAAAAGAAGCUCUCGCCAAAGCAAGCACGGUGGCAAGACUUUCUAGCGGAGUUCGACUACGUUUUGGAGUACAAACCGGGGAAGGCAAACGUUGUGGCCGAUGCUUUGAGUAGAAAGGCCGAACUCGCAGCGAUUAGCUCGACAAGGGGGAACUUGGCCGACGUGAUCCGAGGAGGGCUCGAACAUGAUCCAAUCGCCAAGGAGCUAAUUCGACUUGUCAAGGAGGGCAAUUUCAAGAUCGUCCCAACUUAUUCGAGGCAACGAGGACGUCGCCGGAUUAGGCGGGGGAGGAUGUCACGGCCCGCUAGUUUUGACCCAACCCCUUGCCGAUUUCCCUUGGGUUGGGGAGGUUACAAAGAGUCCAAGUUGUAGCCCAAGUAGGGUUAGGCCCAAGUUGGCCCAAUUGUAUAGUGGUAGGUAGAGCUAUUUUUGGUAGGUAGGGUAGGUGGUGGUAGGUAGAGACAAUCAAGGGAUUGCUCCACUCCCAUCCGUUAGAUCAUAUCGAUCUCCACCGUCCAUUGAGGAGGCGGUCUUGUAUAAAUAGAGGUAGGGUCCUCAUUUGUAUUCAUUCACCAACAAAUCCAAUAAAGUAUUCUUCUACCAACUCUCUUGUCUUCUUACUAUCUUUCUUCGUUUCCAUCACUUAAGUAUUCGGCAACACAUUCGGGAGAGGCUGACUUAGCUAUCGCGAGGGGCGAGAAGGAGCUAAGGCCGCACGGUUCUUUGUUAAGAGAACAAGUCCGUGACAGUAGGCUUGCUUUGAGCACUCUAAUUUCUUCAAAGUAACAGCGCCGGAGGCACGACCCGGCCAGUUAAGACCAGGAGCGCAUCGCCGGCAGAAGGGACGAGACAACCGGUGCACACCAGAGGCGGACCGGCCGACCCAACCCAAAGUCCAACUACGAGCUUUUAACUGCAACAACUUAAAUAUACGCUAUUGGAGCUGGAAUUACCGCGGCUGCUGGCACCAGACUUGCCCUCCAAUCGAUCACCGUUCCCACUUGAAUCAAGCCGAUCCUUGCUUUUCUCGGCCAAGCACCCCAAAUGCUUGCCGAUCACCCGACCACUCAUUGGCCGGUUGUGUGGUUGCGCGCCUGCUGCCUUCCUUGGAUGUGGUAGCCGUUUCUCAGGCUCCCUCACUCGAGUCAUUACCGAUAUCACCGAUUAAGGGGGUAACAGUAGGCCACUACAGGGGUAAAUUUAUCACCGAAAUUUUCCCUUGUACGGCCUGAUUUGCCCACCAUGCGAUCCGUCGAGUUAUCAUGAAUCAUCGCAACGACGGGCAGAGCCCGUGUCGACCUUUUAUCUAAUAAAUGCAUCCCUUCCAGAAGUCGGGGUUUGUUGCACGUAUUAGCUCUAGAAUUACUACGGUUAUCCGAGUAGCAGGUACCAUCAAACAAACUAUAACUGAUUUAAUGAGCCAUUCGCAGUUUCACAGUCUGAAUUAGUUCAUACUUACACAUGCAUGGCUUAAUCUUUGAGACAAGCAUAUGACUACUGGCAGGAUCAACCAGGUAGCAUUCCUUACCGACACCGGCACCGCGCGAUACAAGCCGCAAGGACUCGAUCGCGACGGCGACGGUCGUCGUUCGCAUAGAGCGUGAAACGCAUUUUCUUGGGGUAAAUAGAGGGCCAACGCCUCGUACCCACUCAAUUUUCCGCAUCCGAGAGAUCGAGCGUGCCGCCGUGCGCCAACAACCCGGGGACAGUUACGUCUGGGAUGUGGAACACGACGGAUGCUUCAUGGUCCAUCCCACGCCGCACCCUGAAAAGGAUGCAACGCAAGACGAAACGAGGCUUUUAACCGACACGAUACCAACACGAUAGGUACGCAGCACAGGAAACCGACACCGAUCAAGGCACACUUGAACCGACGAUUGAAGAGGCGCGCACAAGUUGCCGUCGCUGCCCGAGCAGGGAUCCGACAAGCCCGUGCGCACCAAGCACCACUCACGCGCCCUGCCGUACGCAAUGCCCGAGAAGGCGCAUCGUUGUCCAACCAAAAGCAAUGCAAGAGCACAGCACUGGACAAACAACAACAAGCCCACCCGAGCAUAUGCCCCGUCGAGCACGAUGCAAGCCCACUUUUUCUUUGCGGUGUUCACCACCACCCACUUAUUUGCACCACCACCCACUUGUGCGGUCUUAUUUGCACCGCCACCCACUUAUGUGGUCUUAUUUGCACCACCACCCACUUAUGUGGUCUUAUUCCGAGGAACAUUCCAUCACCGAGUGAGUCCGAGCGAAACAUUCCAACGGGCACCGACAACAUGCAUUCGUGAAUAUCCAACCUUGAGUAGUGGCUCGAGCGAAACUUCCAAUGAGCACCGCAACAUUCAGGCAACCAUGCCAACCAACAGCCGCUGCCCGAAGGACAACUCACUUUCUCGACAGAGCGGGGUUCGAAGCAUAACUCGUACUACCCACACCAUUUUCGAAUGAGAGCCAUCCCACGAAGCACCGACUGCCGUAUAGCAACGCAUCGCCUAUAUUCCCAUCACCUACUAGCACCGAUUCGCUCGAGAGCCACAAAUAAUCAUGCCCAUCAUGCAUCACCGGAGUAGAGAAACGAGCGAGACAACCUUUCCCAAUAGGCAACGUGCAAACCAACAGCAUUGCCCGAAGGACAACUCACUUCCUCGACAGAGUGGUUUUCGAAGCAUAACUCGUACUAUCCACACCAUUUUCGGAUGAGAGCCAUCCCACAACGCAACACAGCCGUUUGACACUCCAAUCGCCUAUUGGGGGCUAUUGAGAAAGAACUCCACCCAAUGAUGGUCGGACAAGCACAAAUUAUCAUACCAUACCAACCCGUAAGAAUGCAUGUUGCCGGGCUUCGCCGAAGCACCGCACCGGCCUCAUCUUGAUUACCGACAAGCCAACUUCUUUUUUGCGACAAGCAACCUUCUUUAUUCGGCAUCUUUCUUAAUUCGGGCAUCUUUCUUUAUCCGGCAUCUUUCUUUAUCGGGCCUCUUCCGAAAGGGACUGGAAAAAAAAAAAAAAAAAUUUUUUUUUUUUCCGACCGACCGCCGCCGCCGCCGCCGGAGCGCCGCCGGCGUUGGGUGGUGGUGCCGCCCGCCGCCGCCCGCCCGCCACCACUGGCCCACCAUUCCUGCCUGCCGCAGGGGGGCGCGGCAGGCCCUCUUUUGCCAAAGUUUUGCCAAAGUUGCUAGCAACUUUGCCCAAGUUGCUAGCACCUUGGGCAAAGUUGCUAGCACCUUGGCCUAGCACCCUCCUUGGACACCUCCCCCCCUAUAGUAGUGAAAUGGACAAAAUCAGCCAAAUGACCACUAGACAUUGAAAAUGCCGAGGGAAGCAACUUUUUUAUUUCUCAAUAUUUUAUAUCUUAUUCAACUUAUUUUUUAACCAAAUUUUUUUCUAACAUUAAUUAUAUUAUUAUCUACCCGUAGAAACUGGAAUUUUAUUUUUCCGACUUGUAAUUAUUUUUAUUUAUUUUUUUCAUUCGAAAAUAUUUUUAAUUACCAAAUAAAUAGAGAAAAAUAUCAAUAUACAUUUUAAAAAUCACGAAAAUUAUGCCAAAUAGUUCCUGUUGAUAUUACAAUAAUUGUUGAAUUUUUUUUUUAUUUUUCUGGUUUGUAAUUAUAUUUUUUAUUAUUUUAAUUCAAAAAAAUACAAUAAAAUAGAUAAUAAAUAGAGAAAAAUAUCGAAAUAUAUUUUAAAAAUCACGAAAGUUAUGCCAAUUAGUUCCUGUUGAUUAUUCAAGAGUUCUUGAAAUUUUAUUUUAUUUUUCUGGUUUUUAUUUAUAUUUUUUUAUUAUUUUAAUUCAAGAAAUACAGUAAAAUAGAUAAUAAAUAGAGAAAAAUAUCAAAAUAUAUUCGAAAAAUCACGAAAAUUAUCCCAUUUGGCUCCUGCUGUAGUUACAUGAAUUUAUGAAAUUUUUAUUUUAUUUUUAUGAUUUUUAAUUACAUUUUUUUAUUAUUUUAAUUCAAAAAAUAGAUAAUAAUUAGAGAAUAUUAAUUCGGGUAUGAGGUUUGAAGAGUGGAAAGGUACUGUGGAUAGUUCUUUUACGAAAUAGUAAUUAUUAUUUAUAUUAUUCGGGUACUUUUAAUAUUUAAUUUCUAUUUAUUCAUUAUUUUAACUAAUAUAUUCGUUAAAAUAGUGAAAAAAACACCAAAGCUCGUUACUACACCGAAAAACAUAACCAUUCUCCGUGGAAUCAUACCCCCCCCACAAGUGAACGUGACGAUAUCAUCUUCGUAGCAAAAGAUACGUUGAAAACAUUUAUCAUUGUUCAUCGACUUAUUGUUCCCUAACAACAUGCCUUGCCCAAACUAGUCGGUCCCGACGUUUUCGGAGCAAUUCUCGAAAUCUG
rnacentral:lncRNA from 1 species